rnacentral:rRNA from 1 species
UGAAGUCGGAAUUGCUAGUAAUCGCGGAUCAGCAUGCCGCGGUGAAUACGUUCCCGGGCCUUGUACACACCGCCCGUCACACCAUGGGAGCCGGUAAUACCCGAAGUCAGUAGUCCAACCUCGUGAGGACGCUGCCGAAGGUAGGAUUGGCGACUGGGGUGAAGUCGUAACAAGGUAAC